rnacentral:rRNA from 1 species
UACAGCGGGUGCGAGCGUUGUUCGGAAUUACUGGGCGUAAAGCGCGCGCAGGCGGCUCUUUAAGUCUCGUGGUCAAAUGCCGGGGCUCAACCCCGAGCGUGCCGGGGAUACUGGAGGGCUGGAGACAGGUAGAGGCAAGCGGAAUUCCGGGUGUAGCGGUGGAAUGCGUAGAGAUCCGGAAGAACACCGGAGGCGAAGGCGGCUUGCUGGACCUGGUCUGACGCUGAGGCGCGAAAGCGUGGGGAGCGAACAGG